GUGACGGCUCUCGCCCGUGUGAAAAAUGAAAAUAAAAUGGCGUUGAAUUUAGUUAUUGUUGAUUUUAGAUCGCAUUGAAUCAGUUGUGUAUAAAUUAAUCCUCUAUUGGAUAAUUAAUGUGAAAUCUAACCUAAUAUUUACAAUUGUUGCCAUCAAAUAUAAAUCAUGUCAGACAACGAGCAAUCAUCAGAGUCAGGAACUACUGUACUAAUGGCUGAAUAUAAUCACGGUCAGUUAAAAAUUGUGGAUACUGCGUCGCCUGCCAAGAAAAGGAAACUCCAAACAGUAAAAGGCCAUAUAUUGGAUGGUUCAGAAAGCAGCAAUGACGAGCAAUAUAAAUAUGUUCAAGUUUUGGACUCUGACAAGAAUGUUGUCGUUGAUUUACUCAAUUUGACUUUAGUCAAAUGUGGAAAUGGCCAGGAGUCAUAUCGUAUACUCGGCAGCGACGAAACAGAAAGCGGUGGCGAAGAGACUGUCACGUGCGUGCUAUCCAACGACGAUGAUGACAAUGAUAUGACAGAUUCUUACGUGGUGAUGGAGGGUAGCGAUGGCCAAGUGGUGUUCCUACAGUCCGCCAACGCUGGACAACCAUCCCAGGAAUCGGAGGAACCCAAAAAGACGGCUCUCACACCUGUAGAAAUAUUGGAGAAAGCAAAAGCCCUGCAGAAAGCCAAAGCGCUAAUGUCGCUUCAGACGAGUACACCGCACCGCGGGCGGCGCCGCAGGUCGCAACUACCACCGGUGCACGAACUGUUGUCUUCCCCUCACUUCAAGAUGUAUCUAUACUCCUGCAAGCAGUGCGAUUUCAAGUGCAACGCCAUUAAAGAGCUCACGGCGCACAAGGCGGCGGAGCACGUGGGCGGCGGCGCGGGCAAGUGGCGAGCGGGCGGGCGCGCCAACACCAUCACACUGCAGUGCGCGAGGUGUCCCUUUAGGGGCAACACACACUCACAGUUGAUGAGACAUGUCAGAGACAAACAUUCUGAAACAGCCACAACCGUGAGCCACGCAACCACAAGUACGGUCUUGCUGGCGAGUCCGCAUGUGAGCGCUGCGGACGUGCUGGUUUGCGGCGCUUGCGGCUUCGAGUCGUCCGCACGGGACGUGUUCAAGCGGCACAUUGAGGACGAGCACGGCGUCACCGCCUGCUAGUGUGCGCGCGCCCUAACAUUGCCUGCUGGUGGGCCCGCGCCCUAACGUCAUAUACUACCGGCUAGUGUGUGCGCGCCCUAACCUCAUAGUACCACCUAACAGUGUGCGCGUGACGUAAUACUGCUUCGUGGUGUUUGCGUGCCCUUACACUGCCCGCUAGUGUAUGCGUGCCCUAACGUCGUAGUUCCACCUUAGAGUCUGUGCGUGGUGUAAUACUACCUAAUGGUGUGUGCGCGCCCAAACGCGUCGAUUUUUUUUGUCGCUACUCGCUGGUCAUCCACAUACGUGUGUGCCACUUAAGUGUGCGCGCG